UACAAAGGGGGCUAGCGUUGCUCGGAAUCACUGGGCGUAAAGCGCACGUAGGCGGUUUCUUAAGUCGGUGGUGAAAGCCCGGAGCUCAACUCCGGAACUGCCUUUAAAACUGCAUCGCUUGAAUCCAGGAGAGGUGAGUGGAAUUCCGAGUGUAGAGGUGAAAUUCGUAGAUAUUCGGAAGAACACCAGUGGCGAAGGCGGCUCACUGGACUGGUAUUGACGCUGAGGUGCGAAAGCGUGGGGAGCAAACAGG
rnacentral:rRNA from 1 species